CAGGAACUGGUAGGGUUUGGUUUCGGUGAGAAAGAAGCAAUGAGUGAAGGUGAAGAAUCAAAGGGGUAUUUGAACGAGAAUCCAUGAGUUUUCAGUGGAGUGGCAUGACUGAGUGAAGAGAGAGCCAUUGAAUCAUUGAUGUUUUUGGAUAAGGAGAAAUCUGAUGGCCAGGAAUAUUAUCAUGUGGCUCAGAAAAUGUGAGGCCAAACUAUAUGUUGUAUCUUUGAACCAGCCUUCAGUGCAGGAAGGGACUAAGGAGCAAAGUAAAGGAUAAGAUUUGGCUCCUUUUAAUAACGACGUAACAUCGUUUCACCGUGUAAAUAUGGCCCCCUUCUCUCACCUCAGAACAUGGGAAGAGGAGAACAAAUAAAUCAAACUUUGCACAAUGUCUAUAUAUGCUUUUCGUUGCAAUUUGAAUUUGUACAAAUCGUUUGAAGUCGUUUAUGUUUUUCAUUACAACCUUGACGGAUGCAAGCGCUGCUUCACUUCCGAUAAAAGGUGAUCCUUUGAAAGUACUCAAAUGUAUAGUCAUAACUCUUAACUAUGCAUUUUACAUGAUAUUUCGACAAAAAAAUAACAUGGAAAGGUCGGGAAAUGCCUAGCUUGCAGGAAGUGAUCGAUGCAUCAGUAACAUGUACAAUAUUUUAUACAAACACGUAUACGACGAGCACUUGGAGGCUUGGAGCAGAACCAAGUCUUGGCAAAACUUGUACGCUUUAGUCCAUUGUCAU